rnacentral:rRNA from 1 species
GGGCCCGCACAAGCGGUGGAGCAUGUGGUUUAAUUCGAUGAUACGCGAGGAACCUUACCAGGGCUUAAAUGUAGUGGGACAGGUCUAGAGAUAGACCCUUCUUCGGACUCAUUACAAGGUGCUGCAUGGUUGUCGUCAGCUCGUGCCGUGAGGUGUCAGGUUAAGUCCUAUAACGAGCGCAACCCCUGUUGUUAGUUGCCAGCGAGUAAUGUCGGGAACUCUAGCAAGACUGCCAGUGCAAACUGUGAGGAAGGUGGGGAUGACGUCAAAUCAUCACGGCCCUUACGUCCUGGGCUACACACGUGCUACAAUGGUAGGUACAGAGAGCAGCCACUUCGCAAGAAGGAGCG